GUAGGUGGCAAGCGUUGUCCGGAAUUAUUGGGCGUAAAGCGCGCGCAGGCGGUUCUUUAAGUCUGAUGUGAAAGCCCACGGCCCAACCGUGGAGGGUCAUUGGAAACUGGAGAACUUGAGUACAGAAGAGGAAAGCGGAAUUCCACGUGUAGCGGUGAAAUGCGUAGAGAUGUGGAGGAACACCAGUGGCGAAGGCGGCUUUCUGGUCUGUAACUGACGCUGAGGCGCGAAAGCGUGGGGAGCAAACAGGGAUUAGAUACCCUGGUAGUCCACGCCGUAAACGAUGAGUGCUAAGUGUUAGGGGGGUUUCCGCCCCCUUAGUGCUGCAGCUAACGCAUUAAGCACUCCGCCUGGGGAUACGGCCGCAAGGCUG
rnacentral:rRNA from 1 species